rnacentral:rRNA from 1 species
UCGGGAAUUUUGCGCAAUGGACGAAAGUCUGACGCAGCAACGCCGCGUGAGGGAUGAAGGCCUUCGGGUUGUAAACCUCUUUUAUCAGGGAAGAUGAUGACGGUACCUGAUGAAUAAGUCACGGCUAACUACGUGCCAGCAGCCGCGGUAAUACGUAGGUGACAAGCGUUGUCCGGAUUUACUGGGCGUAAAGAGCGCGCAGGCGGUCGUUCAAGUCGAGUGUGAAAGCCCCCGGCUCAACUGGGGAGGGUCAUUCGAUACUGAUCGACUCGAAGGCAGGAGAGGGUAGUGGGAAUUCCCGGUGUAGUGGUGAAAUGCGUAGAUAUCGGGAGGAACACCAGUGGCGAAGGCGACUACCUGGCCUGUUCUUGACGCUGAGGCGCGAAAGCUAGGGGAGCAAACGGGAUUAGAUACCCCGGUAGUCCUAGCCGUAAACGAUGGACACUAGGUGUUGGUGGUAUCAACCCCGCAGUGCCGAAGCUAACGCAUUAAGUGUCCCGCCUGGGG